rnacentral:rRNA from 1 species
AUUGAACGCUGGCGGCAGGCUUAACACAUGCAAGUCGAACGAUGACUCUCUAGCUUGCUAGAGAUGAUUAGUGGCGGACGGGUGAGUAACAUUUAGGAAUCUACCUAGUAGUGGGGGAUAGCUCGGGGAAACUCGAAUUAAUACCGCAUACGACCUACGGGUGAAAGGGGGCGCAAGCUCUUGCUAUUAGAUGAGCCUAAAUCAGAUUAGCUAGUUGGUGGGGUAAAGGCCCACCAAGGCGACGAUCUGUAACUGGUCUGAGAGGAUGAUCAGUCACACCGGAACUGAGACACGGUCCGGACUCCUACGGGAGGCAGCAGUUGGGAAUAUUAGACAAUGGGGGCAACCCUGAUCCAGCCAUGCCGCGGGUGUGAAGAAAGCCUUUUGGUUGUAAAGCACUUUAAGCAGGGAGGAGAGGCUAAUGGUUAAUACCCAUUAGAUUAGACGUUACCUGCAGAAUAAGCACCGGCUAACUCUGUG